rnacentral:rRNA from 1 species
GAUGAACGCUGGCGGCGUGCCUAAUACAUGCAAGUCGAGCGAACAGAUGAGGAGCUUGCUCCUCUGACGUUAGCGGCGGACGGGUGAGUAACACGUGGAUAACCUACCUAUAAGACUGGGAUAACUUCGGGGAACCGGAGCUAAUACCGGAUAAUAUAUUGAACCGCAUGGUUCAAUAGUGAAAGACGGUUUUGCUGUCACUUAUAGAUGGAUCCGCGCCGCAUUAGCUAGUUGCUAAGGUAACGGCUUACCAAGGCAACGAUGCGUAGCCGACCUGAGAGGGUGAUCGGCCACACUGGAACUGAGACACGGUCCAGACUCCUACGGGAGGCAGCAGUAGGGAAUCUUCCGCAAUGGGCGAAAGCCUGACGGAGCAACGCCGCGUGAGUGAUGAAGGUCUUCGGAUCGUAAAACUCUGUUAUUAGGGAAGAACAAAUGUGUAAGUAACUAUGCACGUCUUGACGGUACCUAAUCAGAAAGCCACGGCUAACUACGUG